AACAGGGAGAAGCCCAGCACCGAAUCUCCCGGCCAGAGGGUCGGCGAGAAAUGUGGUGUUAGGGAGCGGCCGUUCCCGGUGCGCGCUGGCUCGUUCCAAGUCCUCUUGAAAGGGGCCACGGCCGUAGAGGGUGCCAGGCCCGUAGUGGACGACGUGCGCGCUCGGGGGGCUUGUCUCCUCAGAGUCGGGUUGCUUGAGAUCGCAGCCCUAAGCAGGUGGUAAACUCCAUCUAAGGCUAAA
rnacentral:rRNA from 1 species